rfam:Gemmatimonas aurantiaca T-27 DNA, complete genome.
GGCGCCGUGGCCAAGUGGUAAGGCAGGAGACUGCAAAUCUCCCACCGUCGGUUCGAUUCCGACCGGCGCCU